rnacentral:tRNA from 1 species
GGCCUCGUAGCUCAACUGGUAGAGGGUGCACUGUACAAAAGCGUAGUCGACGUCCAUGUGUGGGUUCGAAUCCCAUCGAAACUA